rnacentral:rRNA from 1 species
GAUGAACGCUGGCGGCGUGCCUAAUACAUGCAAGUCGAGCGAACGGACGAGAAGCUUGCUUCUCUGAUGUUAGCGGCGGACGGGUGAGUAACACGUGGAUAACCUACCUAUAAGACUGGGAUAACUUCGGGAAACCGGAGCUAAUACCGGAUAAUAUUUUGAACCGCAUGGUUCAAAAGUGAAAGACGGUCUUGCUGUCACUUAUAGAUGGAUCCGCGCUGCAUUAGCUAGUUGGUAAGGUAACGGCUUACCAAGGCAACGAUGCAUAGCCGACCUGAGAGGGUGGUCGGCCACACUGGAACUGAGACACGGUCCAGACUCCUACGGGGGGCAGCAGUAGGGAAUCUUCCGCAAUGGGCGAAAGCCUGACGGAGCAACGCCGCGUGAGUGAUGAAGGUCUUCGGAUCGUAAAACUCUGUUAUUAGGGGAGAACAUAUGUGUAAGUAACUGUGCACAUCUUGACGGUACCUAAUCAGAAAGCCACGGCUAACUACGUG